UGUUAAAACUUUCAUCUAUUUUUACUGUUAAAAACUGGCGUGGCUAACAAAAUAACUAAAUAGUUACAUGUGGCAUGUCAUGUAUACCUCAUGUUGAAGUAGAGGGACUAGUUUCUAACAGUUAAAAUGGAUGGAAUUUUUAACA
rfam:Gossypium arboreum cultivar AKA8401 contig_3882_9, whole genome shotgun sequence.